UGGGGAAUAUUGGACAAUGGGCGCAAGCCUGAUCCAGCAAUGCCGCGUGUGUGAAGAAGGCCUUCGGGUUGUAAGGCACUUUUAUCAGGAGCGAAACGCUGUCGGCUAAUACCCGGCGGAACUGACGGUACCUGAGGAAUAAGCACCGGCUAACUUCGUGCCAGCAGCCGCGGUAAUACGAAGGGUGCAAGCGUUAAUCGGAAUUACUGGGCGUAAAGCGUGCGUAGGCGGUUUCUUAAGUCUGCUGUGAAAUCCCCGGGCUCAACCUGGGAAUGGCAGUGGAUACUGGGAGGCUAGAGUGUGUCAGAGGGUGGUGGAAUUCCCGGUGUAGCGGUGAAAUGCGUAGAGAUCGGGAGGAACAUCAGUGGCGAAGGCGGCCACCUGGGACAACACUGACGCUGAGGCACGAAAGCGUGGGGAGCAAACAGGAUUAGAUACCCUGGUAGUCCACGCCCUAAACGAUGCGAACUGGAUGUUGGUCUCAACUCGGAGAUCAGUGUCGAAGCUAACGCGUUAAGUUCGCCGCCUGGGGAGUACGGUCGCAAGACUGAAACUCAAAGGAAUUGACGGGGUCAUAGCUGUUUCCUG
rnacentral:rRNA from 1 species